AUACCCUCGUCUAAGCUCUAUCCAUUUAGUAUCGGUCUGUGCCGAUUGCUUUUUAGUUUGUGAUGGUCAAAAGCAGGGGCAGUUCAAAUCCGAAUAUGAUGAAAAUUCGUUUGAGAUCUAUUCUAUAUAUCUUUGUUGGGUUUCUGAUUGUGUGGUUUGAAACUCAUUCAAAUUUCGCGCGUGGGUUUGUGAUUUUAUUCUCUCGCCAACAUUAGAUUUACACAGGUUAGGGUUGGCCGAGUUCCACCACCGCUUCCACGUUUUUAUCUAAGGUUAGUUUGCAUAUUUAAUAUUUCAAAUGUGUGAUAUGUUCUUUGCUUAGGAACCAAAAACACAAAGAUACAAUUUUCUUCUUCUCCUUCUCUUCACUUGGUGAAAAAACUCUCAAAAAUUUCAAUGGAGAUUCAUAUUUAUCGCCUCACCAUCUUACUCCCAUAUUCGCCCAAAUUUUGUGUUAAGAUCUCCUCUAACAUACCCUUUCUUCUUCAAACGUACACGACCACUUCCUAUGGACUUCAUUACUCUUCCUUCUUCAUCAAUAUCGUCUGCCUGUGUUUUAGAUUUCUACUUUGUGAUAAUAGACACACAAAUAUGGUCUGAUGUCUAUGGUUCAGAACAGGAAGACGUUUUUUUCCUACUCUGUAAUUGUGUUUCUUUUAUAUGCUUUCAAUUUCUGUUAUGGCUCUCAUCAACUUUAUGUGUGUGUAAUUCCCAAUUAAUGGAUAUUUUGUUGGAUGUCUAAGAUGCCAAAUUAAUGGUGUUAUGUCAAAGCUACGGACAAACAACACUUUAACCCAUUCCACUACUUUACCCAUACAUGAUAAUGGGAAAAAGGAACUUGAUUUAUUUCACUGAUCCUUAAUUCUAGAAGCUUAACCAACCUCCUUCAAUGUAUUUGAAAAGGAAAAAAUUAUUAAAUUAGCACUCCCUAAAGUGAAGGGUAAAAUUGGAAACUCACUAUACGUGCAGAAGUGAAGGCAAUUGUUCCUGAACACGCUUCCUAGCCUUGGUUCACAUAUAUUGUUGUGAUGAUGCAUGUGGUUCAAAACAAUAUUUCAUCUUCGAUUAAAUUGAAAACAAGAGAGAAUUUCAAGAAAAGGAACUUCCAGCCCCUCUAUAAUCUGAUGGAUUUGUUCUAUUUGAUUUUUUUUAUAGUUAUGCAUCCAUGAAGUAUAUGUAAUCUUAAUUCUAUAAUUGAAUGCAUCAGAAAUAUAAUUACAAUUAGAGCUUAUAAUUUGUGUU